GGAACAAGGGGUGCCGAUUAUGGCUGAGAGCGAGCGAAAGCCCGCAACCCUGUCACCUGAUCCGGAUAAUGCCGGCGGAGGGAUGUUUG
rnacentral:ncRNA from 1 species